GUUUGUACGUCUUACUUUACUGAACAUUCUUGCUACUUAUAGUUAUCUCUAUCUAUAAAGAACUUGGCCCAGUAGUUUCAGUGGAAAAUGUUAGUAAAAAUUUACAAAUUUUAUGAAAAUUGUUAAAACUUGACUAUAAAGGACAAUAACUCCUUAGGGAGUCAAUUGACCAUUUCAGUCAUGUUGACUUAUUUGUAAAUCUUACUUUGCUGUACAUUAUUGCUGUUAAA
rnacentral:lncRNA from 1 species